GCACUAGUAGCUCAGUUUCCAGAGCGUCG
rnacentral:tRNA from 2 species